rnacentral:rRNA from 1 species
CCGGCUAAUUCCGUGCCAGCAGCCGCGGUAAUACGGAAGGUCCGGGCGUUAUCCGGAUUUAUUGGGUUUAAAGGGAGCGUAGGCCGGAGAUUAAGCGUGUUGUGAAAUGUAGACGCUCAACGUCUGCACUGCAGCGCGAACUGGUUUCCUUGAGUACGCACAAAGUGGGCGGAAUUCGUGGUGUAGCGGUGAAAUGCUUAGAUAUCACGAAGAACUCCGAUUGCGAAGGCAGCUCACUGGAGCGCAACUGACGCUGAAGCUCGAAAGUGCGGGUAUCGAACAGGAUUAGAUACCCUGGUAGUCCGCACGGUAAACGAUGGAUGCCCGCUGUUGGUCUGAAUAGGUCAGCGGCCAAGCGAAAGCAUUAAGCAUCCCACCUGGGGAGUACGCCGGCAACGGUGCAACUCAAAUGAAUUGACGG